UUAAAGUCUAUGAAGAGGAGGAGUAUCAAAAGCCAUCUGUUAUAGCGAGUAGAGGACGGUGGAAGCUCUACACAGACCUUUUGAGAAAAGAGCCUUGGAGACUCUGCCAGAAAGCUUAACGCAAGUAUGGUAAGACCCGUGUGGGUUAUCAAAAUGAGUGGGCAUUUGCCAAUUAGAGUGGUACCGCGGACAACCGCCUCUAUC
rnacentral:ncRNA from 1 species